rnacentral:rRNA from 1 species
UACAGAGGUCUCAAGCGUUGUUCGGAUUCAUUGGGCGUAAAGAGCUCGUAGGCGGCUUGUCGCGUCGUCCGUGAAAACCUGGGGCUCAACCCCAGGCUUGCGGUCGAUACGGGCAGGCUAGAGUUCGGUAGGGGAGACUGGAAUUCCUGGUGUAGCGGUGAAAUGCGCAGAUAUCAGGAGGAACACCGAUGGCGAAGGCAGGUCUCUGGGCCACUACUGACGCUGAGAAGCGAAAGCAUGGGGAGCGAACAGG